GCGCAUGUGGCGGAAUUGGUAGACGCGCAAGAUUUAGGUUCUUGUGACUGCGGUCGUGGGGGUUCAAGUCCCCCCAUGCGCA
rnacentral:tRNA from 1 species